UACGUAGGGGGCAAGCGUUGUCCGGAUUUAUUGGGCGUAAAGGGCGCGUAGGCGGCUUUGCAAGUGGCGGGUGAAAUCCCUCGGCUUAACCGAGGAACUGCCUGCCAGACUGUGAGGCUUGAGACCGGGAGAGGUGAGUGGAAUCCGGGUGUAGCGGUGGAAUUGCGUAGGAGAUCCGGAAGAACACCAGUGGCGAAGGCGGUCUGCUGGGCAGUUGCUGACACUGAUGCG
rnacentral:rRNA from 1 species